GCUCAGAUUACAGGUGUGAACCACCACACCCCACCAGGAUACAGUUUUUCUUUAAAAGCACACCCAGCCUUGGAUGGAAAACCACUUGAGUAUGCUGCCUUAUUGGGCUCUGUAAAUACCUUAUCUCUGCAGAAGGCUGGGACGUUGAGUGGAGUCCUUGGCUAAAGCUGUCAUUGCUACAUGGUGACCUUUCUUCCUCUCCUGCUUAAAGCUUGUGUUUCAGAAUUUUGACCCGAAUGCAUCUGUGUUGAAAGCCAGGCUUGGUCUGUUAUCCCAGGACUCCGUGUCGGUCCCUUUCCUUGCCUGUAUGUUGAGUUGGGGCUCAUCUUUGUGCCUCUGGGAAAUAAGUUAUUUGAUAGCUUGCUUAGAGUCUCUCAGCACUUUCCCUUGCCCUUAGAAUGAAUACCAAAAUAUGUGGCUUGCAGUGUAGACUGUGCACAGCCUUCAUUGUAGACUGCUCAGGCCCCCUCUUGGUUCCUGGAGUCUGCCGUGCUUCCUUCUACCACCAGGCUUUUGCACACAAUGCUGUCUGCUGGGAAUGCCUUGCCUUUCCUCAUUACUUAGUUCUCCUCUACUCAUCUUUCAGGUGCCAGCUUGACUGUCUUCCUCGGGGGAGCUUCUCUGACCUUGGUACACCAGAGCAGCCCCCAUGUACUGACUUUGUCUCAUUGAAUCCUUGCCCAGAGUCCAGCGCCUCCUUCCUGUCCAGGAUCACCUUCUGGUGGAUCACAGGGUAAGGCUGGGCCCCUGAGACCUCAGGGAGGUGGUGGGGAAUGAAUGAAUGAAUGAAUGAUCAUGCUGAGCUCCCUGCUUGACUUCUCUCUCCUUUGCUCUUCUGCAGAGUUGUCUAGAAUCUGCCUGUGCUAGCCAUGUUGUCUUAGAGACACCAACUCUGUCCCCCAAGUCCAUCACCUUGAAUAUGAUAAACACAUGAGCCAUUAACAGCUUAAAUAUCUGCAGAAGGCUUGGCCUAGAACAGCCAUAUACCGGACUGCUCUUGCUUUAGCUUCAGAUUUGGGGAUGCCCAGGAUACAGGCCUUCAGUCAGACCCAGAUGGUGGAUCAAAAUCUGGGACAUCCAUGGUGCCAGCCACUAGGACAUCAGCAGAGGACCUUGUGACCCUGGUAGGAGGCUGUUUGGGUGGUCCAGGUGAUGGGAGAAAUUGUCUCGUGGGAGACAGAUAGAGCUUGGGCCUCCAUGGCUAAGCAUUGUACGGAAAUGGCCCAUGUCCAUGACCCAGUUGAAGGUUGUUGGCAGGCAACAGAGGUGGGGUCCCUGUUUAUUACAUGGAGACAGAACUAGUAGGAUGGAUGGAUGGUUGGAUGGAUAAAUAACAGAGUGGUAGAUGAUAGAUGAUAGAUGGAUAGAUAGUGGAUGCAUACAUGAUAGGUGGAUGGAUAGAUGAUAGAUAGAUGGAUGAUUGAUAAAUGAUGGAUGAGUGGAUGGAUUGAGGGUGAGAGGGGAUCUACUAGGGAAACUGGAUCAUGUGAUUAUGGAGAAGUCCUAUGCUAGGCCAUCUGCAAGCUGGAGACCCGAGAAGCUUGUAGCAUGGCUCAGGCCAAGUCUGAAGAUCUCAGACCUAGGGAAGCUGAUGGUGGAAUUCUCAGUCCACAGAGAACCUGGAAUGACUGGGGUAAGUCCCAGAGGCCAGUUCUGGAGUUCUGAUUUCCAGGUGCAGGAGAGGAUGACAUCCUGGCUGUAGAAGAGAAAUCACAUGAAUUUACCAUUUUGCUGAUCUUGUGUCUGGACCCUCUGCUGAUUGGGUGGUGCCCAGUCACAUGGGGUGAGAAUGGAUCCUCCUUAUUGAGUUCACUGAUUCAAAUGCCAGUCUCAUCUGGAGACACCCUCAGAGGCACACACUCAGAAGUAACACUUUACCAGCCAUCUGGGUAUCCCUUGACCCCGUCAAGUUGACCCCUAAUAUCACCUAUCACCUGGAUUCCUUCAGCCUCACCUGCAGUGUUCUCCCUGCUAUGAAGGCCACAUUUGUAACAUGGACUUCAGCAUUCCUCAUCACCAACACCUCUGCUGAUUGCCUGGCUCGGCUUCCUUUCGUGGAAGAAGGAUGCCCACCUUUGUGUUAACUGGAGCUU